GGGUGGGGGCGGUGGUCAGAGGCCCGGGCUGCGCCGUCCGCCGCGGUAGCCGCCCGUCCUCGCGGACAGAGCCGGGACACCAUGCCACAAGAAGAGUGACCUCUUGCUCUGUUUUCACCAUGGAGGACUCGGGAAAGACUUUCAGCUCUGAGGAAGAAGAAGCUAACUACUGGAAAGAUCUGGCUAUGACUUACAAGCAGAGGGCAGAGAACACGCAAGAGGAGCUCCGAGAAUUCCAGGAGGGAAGCCGCGAAUAUGAAGCUGAGUUGGAGACGCAGCUGCAACAGAUUGAAACCAGGAACAGGGACCUCCUGUCGGAAAAUAACCGCCUUCGCAUGGAGCUGGAAACCAUCAAGGAGAAGUUUGAAACGCAGCACUCAGAAGGCUACCGGCAGAUCUCAGCCUUGGAGGAUGACCUUGCCCAGACCAAAGCAAUUAAGGAUCAACUUCAGAAAUACAUCAGAGAGCUAGAGCAAGCCAAUGAUGACUUGGAAAGAGCAAAACGGGCCACAAUCAUGUCUCUGGAAGACUUUGAGCAGCGUUUGAAUCAAGCCAUUGAAAGAAAUGCCUUCCUGGAGAGCGAACUUGAUGAGAAGGAGAAUCUCCUAGAAUCUGUUCAGCGACUGAAGGAUGAAGCCAGAGAUUUGCGGCAGGAAUUGGCUGUGCAGCAGAAGCAGGAGAAGCCCAGGACCCCCAUGCCCAGCUCGGUGGAGGCCGAAAGGACAGACACAGCAGUGCAGGCCACCGGCUCUGUGCCGUCCACACCCAUAGCUCAUCGGGGACCCAGCGCUAGCUUAAACACACCAGGGACGUUCAGACGUGGUCUGGAUGACUCCACGGGUGGGACCCCCCUCACUCCUGCAGCGCGGAUAUCGGCUCUCAACAUUGUGGGAGACUUGCUUCGGAAAGUAGGGGCACUGGAGUCCAAGCUGGCGUCCUGCCGGAACUUCGUGUAUGAUCAGUCCCCAAACCGAACGAGUGGCCCAGCCUCGGGGCGGGGGAGCAAGCACAGAGAUGGUGGUGAGAGACAGCCGAGCAGCGCCGGCGUGCCUCUGGGUGACAAAGGGAUGCCUGAGAGGAGUGCAGACUCUUUGUAAUGAAAACGGCCCGCUCUGCCACACAAAGGCUGGACAGAAAAGCCACGAGGGAGAGAGCCCAUUCCCGUUAUCCAUGCUUUAGUCAAAAGGGGCAACUCAGAGAGGUAAGACUGGACGCAAAGCAAGGCCCAGAGUGUCCUGAUCGCUGAGAAGGGGAGUCCCAACCUGAGCCUUUUGGGGUCUGAGGGUGGGAGAAACAUGGCCGGGAAAACCCGCCUAGUUUCAGAGAAUGGUACUUCCGGGGGUGCAGCAAUCAGGAACGAAUACGUCAGGUUGUAGCCACUCCCAGCUGAAGAUUCUGGCCAGCCUCACUCACAUCAGAGGGAAGCAUGGAGGUGCCUAGCGCCCUUAGAACUAACGCACUUUCCAUCACUCUCUCUCUUCUAGAAGUGACCUUAAAAAGUCUUGAGCACUGUGCUUUCCAAGAACCUGGGUCCCAGAGAACGCUCUCUGAGGACAGGACGAAAAACUAGCGGCUGCUGCUUGCAUGGGUCUCCUGCAUCUCCCCUCCCGGUUCCAAUUUGAUGGGACAGCCUGGGCCUGGAAACUCUGUCUCCCCUACCAUUCCAGGCUCCAAGCCCUCUUUGCCUCUUGGGACAGUCUGUGCAAGUGAGAAGAGUUGAAGUGAGAAAUGGGCUCCCUUGAUCUGAGAGUCUCGGGUGUCCACUCCCCACUCUGAGUAUGUGCCCGCAAGACCUCUGGAAAAGGCUCUGCCAGGACCCCGCUUGGCUCCGAGGUGGCCAACGCGCGCCCUCGUGUGCUGGAAAUGCAGCUAGCAGCCCGGCCUUCAGCCCCACGCAGCCUCAGCAACCGUACAACGCGCGGUGAGAGCUCAUUUCUUUCGCAGACGUGUUUGUGAAAGCCCAGCUGCGGGGGUAUCCGGUUGUUGGGCUCUGGUUACCAUGAACCUGUGCCCUAUGAAUUCUGAUUUGUGAGCCAGACCAGCCAGCUUGAAGCCGUUCUCCGGGAAUGGACCCAGACUGUGGAGCUGUCCUGCCCGCUCAGUGUGGGGUCUUAACCAGACGAGGGAGGACAACACAACCAGGUGUCCUAACAGUGUGGGAGAUGCCCUCUUAGCUCUUCCUCCAGCUGCGCAAUCCGGGCCUCCAGGCGGCGCUUCUCAUCCUGAAGUGUGUUCCUAAGGGAAAUGCAGCUACAUCUGGGGCUCCAGCCUCCCCCUGGCUUAUAAGAUUCCCUCUCCUUGGAGGAGCGAUGCCCAGGAGGAAAUAGGCUCAGAGAGGCUGAGAGACUUGUCCAAAGUCACACAGCUGGGAAGAAGGGGGCCAGGACUAUCUAGUUGGACACGAGUUGCCGCUGGUUGUCCAAAUCGACAACCAGGUCGUCCAGCUCCUGCUGAAGCCUGUUCUUGGUCUUUUCCAGUUUGUCAUAAGCCGCUGCCUUCUCUUCGUACUGCUGGGUGAGGCCUUCGAUUUCCUUCUGGAACUUUUUCUUGCCCUCUUCCAAGGCUUCCACGGUGCUGGCAAAGUCCUGCAACUUCUUCUUCGAAUCGGAGAGCUAAAAUGGCAGUGUCCGGGGUCCCGUAAGAGGAGGGCCAUUGGCUGAAUCCCGUCCCUGACCCCACCCUGGGAAGAGACCACUUUCUCCGCAUUGCAGAAAUUCAACAGCAGGGGGAGCCAGUGAGCCAAGCAAAAUGGCUCCAACACACCACCACGGCCCAAUCGAGCUCUUGAUCUCCCUCCAAGGCUCGGUCCUAGAAAAGCAAGGACACUUAGCGAGCACCUGGAUGUUCAGAGUUGAGAUGUGACGCUCCAGGUUCUGCUUGGCUUCCAUCUCCUCGUCCAGCUGGUCCUGCAGGCUGUUCCUCUCAUCCUCCAGCUGGCGCAACUUGGUGGACACAUUGAGCUUCUGCCGGGUUUCUUCUUGAAGCAGCUCCUAUGGAAGGACACAUGGAAGUCCCAGGGAAGUUCAUACCCCGGGUCCCUCUGGAUGAUGUGGCCAAAUACCCACCUGGGUGUCCUGGAGCUGGGACCCAAGGGAUGCCACGUCCUUGGCCAGUUUUAUGGCCUUCCCCUCCGCCUCGUUGAGCAUCCCUGUGACACUCUCCACUUCAUUCUGAGGAUGCCAAGAGACUGUGGUUAGAACCUCCAGAACGGGAUCCCUGUUAAGUAAGAGAGGCCCUCUCUACUCACACGAUAGGUCAUGUGGUAUCUGCCGAUUGAGAAAUACCCACGAGCUAUGGGGCCUGAUCACGGUAGCUCCAUGGCUCCCAAGGGGAGUGAAUCGCUUACAGGUUGGGAACCUCUUAGAGCCCCAAACUGUAUUGACUGGGUCCUAAUCCCACUCAGUGGAUCCUGGAUCCUGGAUCCUUGCCAAGGUUGGCAAAAAAUGAAACCGGUUUGAGAAUCCAGACAUCGAGCUGCUCUGGACUCUCCUCCCUAAAGUUGGAGAAGAGGAUACAGAUGGCACCUCCACUUCCAAGGGCCCUUUUUCCACCACCCUCUUCCUCACCCCUACUCUUGGCCCUUUCAUGCGUCCUUAUGGCCAAAACCAGAGAUGCAGGAGCAGGUCCUUUUGGAGAUAUCAGCCCACUGUCCAUCUUCUUCCCACUUACAACGAGGAUAUAAAUGAUCUUGACUCUGCUCCUCUAGGACAUUGCUUAUGUUAUGAGAGCAGAACCCCUGCUCUCCCCUGCAUGUGGGGGGAAAAAUCGUAUUUAAUGCUUCCCCUGCUCCCUUGUCCCAGGCUAUAAGCACAUUAAACACUUAUCAAAGAUCUGCCUGUAUCCCACGAAUGGGAAGUCAGGCCAAACGUCUAGUCAAAGCUAAAUAAGACCAAAGACAAACAGACUUUACCAUCGCUCAGCUUAAAACCUAUCAAUGGCUUCUUGUCACUCAGAGUAAAGACGAACAUACAUAUAAUGGGACCUCGAAGGCCCUGUGUCACUCGGCCACGACCUACCUCUCUAGUCCCACGUUAUACCACAUUUCCCCUUCCAGCUCAGCAUUCUAGCUCAACUUCUGUGAUCUCUUCUAAUUUCCCACCUACCCCUGGGCCCUUGCACAUGCUGCUCCCUCUGUGUCCUAGCCUUCUACUUAUCUCAGACUAUACCUCCUUCUUAGGGAAGCCUUUCCCAACUCCUCCUCCUACAGGUCAGGCCCCUUGUUACUUACACUUACUGCAUCAUUUUACAUCAUUCAUGGAAUUAGAAAUGCCUUUCCCUCCACUGGGUCAGAGUUCUAUUGGGGCAAGCGCCGUGUCUUUCUAGCCGCUGUAUCUCAGCACUAAACAUGGCGCCCGGCCUACAGCAAAGACUCAAAUGCUUGCUGAAUGAGCAGAUGAAGGUUUCUAAAGAUCGAACGGAAGAGAGAGCCCAUCUCCUCUCCUUGAGAAGUGGAACAAGAGGAAACCAGCUUGCUUUGCAGCAAGAGAGACUUCAGUUAGCCGGGAAGAGCUUCAUCCCCCUGCAGAGCUGGGACCAAGGGAUGCUUGUUGCGCCGCCGCCUCACCUGCAGCUUGUGGACCUUGUCGUUGAGCUCGGCCCGGGCCCGCUCCCCAUCGCUACACUUGGACUGCAGUUCCUGCAGCUGCACCUCCAGCUUCUUCUUCUUGUGCUCUACCUCCUGCUUGGCCUGGUUCAGGACCCGCAGCUCACCGGCCAGGUCGGCGUUCUCCUUCUCCAGCGUCUGCUUGUUCUUGUCUAGAUUGGCCUUGGCCUGGCCAAGUAAACAGAGGGGAGGGAAGGCAUUAGAGCUCGGGCCAGGAACGCAUUUUAAGAUCAGAACCUCUAUCCCUUGGGGCAUCUUCCUCUUUCCCUUUCCCUCUGCCAGUCAGGAAGGUUCUAAGGACCUGUGCUUGUUGCCUCAAGGGAGGGACGCGGUGAGGUGGGAGACACGCGGUCACUGUAAGACUUUCUGUAUUCUGUUUUUCUAAAGCUCAAAGGUUGCAAACGAGCAUUCCAUGAGCUACAUCCAACUUACUGUUAUGUCCUGGUUGACCUAGUCUUAGUUGCCAACAUUUUAGUAAAGAAAUGUCACAUAAAUCUGGAUUCCAGGGGCGCCUGGGUGGCUCAGUCUGUUCAGCGUCUGCCUUCGGCUCAGGUCAUGAUCCCAAGGUCCUGGGA